UAGCUCAGUUGGUAGAGCAGUUGACUUUUAAUCAAUUGGUCGCAGGUUCGAAUCCUGCACGACCCACCAUUCUCGCGAUGAGUAAUUGGUGUUUAGCGUGAAGGAUAACAUCGCUUAGCGAUGGCCCGAAGGGCGAGGCGUCAGCCGAGUCAUCCUGCACGACACAUCA
rnacentral:sRNA from 1 species